rnacentral:tRNA from 1 species
AGGAUUGUAGUUAACCAUAACAUUUGAUUUGCAUUCAAAAAGUAUUGAAUAUUCUUCAAUCUAUCUU